GUAAAGUACUUUCAGUCGUGAGGAAGGCGGCGUCGUUAAUAGCGGCGUUGUUUGACGUUAGCGACAGAAGAAAGCACCGGCUAACUCCGUGCCAGCAGCCGCGGUAAUACGGAGGGUGCGAGCGUUAAUCGGAAUUACUGGGCGUAAAGCGCAUGCAGGUGGUUUGUUAAGUCAGAUGUGAAAGACCCGGGGCGUCAACCUCGGAAUUGCAUUUGUAAACUAGGCAGACUAGAGUACUGUAGAGGGGGGUAGGAAUUUCAGGUGUAGCGGUGAAAUAGCGUAGAGAUCUGAAGGAAUACCGGUGGCGAAGGCGGCCCCCUCGGACAGAUACUGACACUCAGAUGCGAAAGCGUGGGGAGCAAACAGGAUUAGAUACCCUGGUAG
rnacentral:rRNA from 1 species